rnacentral:rRNA from 1 species
UACGGGGGGGGGUAAGCGUUGUUCGGAAUUACUGGGCGUAAAGGGCUCGUAGGCGGCCAACUAAGUCAGACGUGAAAUCCCUCAGCUUAACUGGGGAACUGCGUCUGAUACUGGAUGGCUUGGAUUCGGGAGAGGAAUGCGGAAUUCCAGGUGUAGCGGUGAAAUGCGUAGAUAUCUGGAGGAACACCGGUGGCGAAGGCGGCAUUCUGGACCGAUAUUGACGCUGAGGCGCGAAAGCUAGGGGAGCAAACGGG